rnacentral:rRNA from 1 species
UAAGACGAACCUCACAAACGUUAUUCGGAUUUACUGGGCUUAAAGGGUGCGUAGGCGGCGUGGAAAGUUGGGUGUGAAAUCCCUCGGCUUAACCGAGGAACUGCGCCCAAAACUACCAUGCUCGAGGGAGACAGAGGUGAGCGGAACUUAGGGUGGAGCGGUGAAAUGCGUUGAUAUCCUAAGGAACACCAGUAGCGAAAGCGGCUCACUGGGUCUCUUCUGACGCUGAGGCACGAAAGCUAGGGUAGCGAACGGGAUUAGAUACCCCGGUAGUCCUAGCCUUAAACGAUGAGCACUUGAUUGGAGGGUCCUCCAUAGCCCUCCAGUCGUAGCGAAAGUGUUAAGUGCUCCGCCUGGGGAGUAUGGUCGCAAGGCUG